GCAGUCGUACGAGAGUUUUUACUCUAGUGGCGGACGGGUGAGUAACACGUGAGAAUUUACCUUUAGGAGGGGGAUAACAAUUGGAAACGAAUGCUAAUACCCCAUAUGCUUUCGAGUGAAAUGGAUUUAUAUUUAUUCGCCUAAAGAGAAGCUCGCGGCUGAUUAGCUUGUUGGUAAGGUAAGAGCUUACCAAGGCGACGAUCAGUAUCUGGUUUGAGAGGACGAUCAGACACACUGGAACUGAGACACGGUCCAGACUCCUACGGGAGGCAGCAGUGGGGAAUUUUCCGCAAUGGGCGAAAGCCUGACGGAGCAAUACCGCGUGAGGGAAGACUGCCUAUGGGUUGUAAACCUCUUUUUUCAGGGAGGAAUAAAUGACGUGUACCUGAAGAAUAAGCAUCGGCUAACUCCGUGCCAGCAGCCGCGGUAAGACGGAGGAUGCAAGUGUUAUCCGGAAUCACUGGGCGUAAAGCGUCUGUAGGUGGUUUAAUAAGUCAACUGUUAAAUCUUGAGGCUCAACUUCAAAAUCGCAGUCGAAACUAUUAGACUAGAGUAUAGUAGAGGUAAAGGGAAUUUCCAGUGGAGCGGUGAAAUGCGUAGAUAUUGGAAAGAACACCGAUGGCGAAAGCACUUUACUGGGCUAUUACUAACACUCAGAGACGAAAGCUAGGGUAGCAAAUGGGAUUAGAUACCCCAGUAGUCCUAGCCGUAAACUAUGGAUACUAGAUGUUGAACAGAUCGACCUGUGCAGUAUCAAAGCUAACGCGUUAAGUAUCCCGCCUGG
rnacentral:rRNA from 1 species